AUUUCAGUGUUAAACAUUUCUGAGUUGAUUUCAACACCCAAAGAGUAAUUUUAACACAUUCUGAGUAAAAUGGUGUCCGGUGUUGGAGUUACUUGACAGAGUGUGAUCAUCAGUGUUAAAACAACUCCAAAGAGAUGUAAUUAUACUCCGCCCCCGCAUUUCCGGUCAUUGCUGGAGAAACCGCCGCCAUUAUCCUCGCAUGGGUUCGAACGGUAGAAUUUUCAGACUCCUUGUCUUCCAUAUCUGAGACGUCUGACUCAAGCAACAGCUCAAGUGCAUGGACUAAUCCCUAGCAAGAGACAAAUAACUGAGGAGACAUCUGCACUGCCUCUUAAACAGAUGGUUAAAGAUGUGUUAAAGUUCAAGUCUGGUGGUGAAGCAGUACUACAGGAGUAUCAAGAAACAGAAACCCUUACAGAUGCCACAAGAAGACAAAUGAUUAACAUACUGGCAACUCCCUACUAAAGCAAUCAGAAAACAGAAUGCUCUUGGCAUAGUGAUGCUGUUCCUUCCUCAGAGAUCCAUACUCCAAGAAAGGCUCCGAACACUUUUAUGAUGCUGCAAGUGACACAGGAUACAUUGCCUGGCGUAAUAAAAACAGUCCACAGCAAUAUGGAGCGAUGCCACCAGACCUCUUCCUCAACAGUCUACGGCCAGGAAAUGGCAUCCCUUCUUUUAAUCCCUUCCACCACUUCCAGGAGGACUGAAGUCUCCAAAAAUUGCAUGCGAUGCAGCUGAAAGCCAUGUAAUCUAUCAUAAGUUUGGAGAAGCACCUCAGCAACAACCAUCCGUUCCUCCUUGCUGUUGGACGUCAGAAAAGCAACAGCUUCUACAUCGCCUUGGAUAAGCAUCUCCUCCCGUGCCAGGCAAACUGCUUCCUUGGAGCAUUUGAUGAACUUUUAAAUUUUGUGCACAUUUUUAGCACAUUUUGUGUUCAGUUUGUCAUAUGAUAGUGCACUUGUGAACUUUUACACAUUACUACACAUUUUUAUGAGCAUCUUCAUGCAUUCAGAGUACUACGAAGUGAGGAAAGGUGUAUUAUAAAAAUGUCAGAGAUUAAAUUUUAUGAGUCAUUUGAUAUUCAAAACUCAUAGUUUGGCAGAUGAAAGUUUGUAUAUCAUUCCUUCUUUUGUAAUGUUUUAAUUCUACUUCAAAUUGCACUGCAAGGGAGAAUUAAAAAUAAACAUGUCGAUGGAAAUUA